CAGAAGACUUAACAAAUUUAUAUUAGAUUUGAUACUGAAAUUCCAACAUAAAACACUACCCAAGAAUUGGUGUUACAAUACUCACGAACUUCUAAGAAUAAUACACAUAACCGUCUUAAAGAAAUAUAAUAUUAUUUUUCUCGAAUAUAUGAGAUAACAGACUGAAAGUAAGGAUAGAGGAGACGCUGUGUCCUGCGGACGCCUGCAAGGGUACCUCGGUGUCUCGAUGAUCAAAAGAUAACACUCCCACUACUGUUGUUGCUGCUGUCCAAAACCUGAAUCUGUGCAAAAAGAGCACAGACUGUAGAAUCAGCACAACCGACCCCAUGUGCUGGUAAGUGCCGGGCCUAUCCCAGCGAAGUAGUGACAAGGCUAGGACCAGACACUCACAUAAACCUGUACAGUCAAACAAAUAUAUACAACAUAAAUAACAGGAAGCAACACUAAAUAUUUGGAAAGGGAGAACAUGCUCUGGGAUAGCAACAAAGUAUAAUAACAAGUGCAGAAUAAAUGAAUUUCAUUUAAUGAGGACGGGUAAAUCAAAAUCUGCACUGCAUCACCCAUCGUGCUUUUACUCUCGUUCUCACCAAAUAAUCAAUUUAGAUGUACGGCAUCACCCAUCAUACUUUUACUCUCGUUCUCACCAAAUAAUCAACUAAGAUGUACGGCAUCACCCAUCUUACGUUUACUCUCACACUCUCAUAUCGAGGCACGGAAAGACUCAUCGUGCAUAAUCACUCAUCUUUGUCACCGACAUCUAUGGCCAAUAACAAUAAUCAUUGUAAUAUAUAUAUACAUAUAUAUAAAACAAGGCACGGAAAGACCCGUCGUGCAUAAGCACUCUUCCUCGUCACCGGCAACUAUGACCAAUAACAACAAUCAUUGUAAUAUAUUACCGGCAAAGAACCAAUAAUAAUUAAUCAACUAUAUAAAUAUUACCAGUAUAAAAUCAAUAAUUCUUUAAAUCAACAAUAUAAAUAUUAUCGGUAUGAAACCAAUAAUCCUUUAAAUCAACAAUAUAAAUAUUACCGGUAUGAAACCAGUAAUCCUUUAAAUCAACAAUAUAAAUAUUACCGGUAUGAAACCAAUAAUAAUAAUUCCUUUCAUAUAAUCACAUAAAAUUAUUAAAGUUUUAUUACCGGUACGAAACCAAUAAUAAUAAUUCCUUUCAUAUAAUCACAUAAAUUAUUAAAGUUUAAUCAAUUUAAGAAUCACGAUCAUGCUCGACCCUCAACAUAUAGAUACUCGUCACCAUACCUAUACUUCUGACUCCACUCUUAACAAUUAGCAUAUAGACUAAACUCAUAUUCCCUCAAGCUAGGAUAGACCAAACACUUAACUCGAAGGUUUAUGGUAACUCAAUCCUUAAGUAAUGCCCUUUCCUUCGAAUUUGACUCCAAUUCAAUUGUAUCUAUUACACAAUUGAUUUAAUAUCAUUAAUACUACUCAACAAAAUAAUCCAAAUGACUAAAUAUACAUUUCACAAUAUUCUGCCCGGAAUAGUGAAACGAUCCCGGGCCCACGUGGUCAAAACAAGAGGUUCGAACUAAUUUCCGACAACCCAUUCACCCACGAGUUCAACCAUACCAAAAUUACUAAAUUUCGAUAACAUUUCGACCCUCAAAUCUAUUCGAGAGGGUUUCUAAGCUUUUUCCCCCUAAAUUCACGGAUUUAAUGCCAAAACUUGCAAUAGAUUCGAGUAAUAUAACCAAAAUUAAGUUAAGAACACAUACUCCAUUGUUCUCUCCAAAAAUCUCCCGAAGAAUCGCCUUAUCCGAGCUCCAAAUGGGUAAAAAUUAAAAAUGGGAGAAAGUCCCAUUUUCAGAAACAAAACAUUCUGCCAAAAAUUUCCGAGGUUACUGUUGAUCCAGUGUUACUGUUCAGAGGUAGUGUACACGAGAAACUGCACACGGUACAUGUACAUGUGGGGGUACUGUUCACAGUGCACUAUUUCUGCAAUUUUUUAAAAAUUUUCCUAAGUCUGAGAUCACUCGAAAACACUCCCAAGCCUUCGGGGCUCCAAACCAAAUAUGCACACUGACUCAAAAACAUCUACGAACUUGCUCGAGCGAUCAAAUCGCCAAAAUAACAUCAAAAUCAAUGAAUUUAGCCUUAAAUCCCAAGAAAUUUUCAAUAACCUUUAAAUUUUCCAAUUUAAAGUUGAAACACGUCAAACGACGUCCGUUUUCAACCAAACUUUACAGAAAGGGCAAAAACAACAUAUAUGACAUGUACCGGGCAUCGGAACAAAAAUACGAUCCCAAUACUAUUACUUUCUGAUCAAAUUUCAUUUUCAUUUCCUUAAGCAUUCUUAGAAAACAAAUUUCAUGAAAAAAUUCUUGUCUCGGGCCUGGGACCUCGAAAUUCGAUUCGGGGCAUACGCCCAAGUCCCAUAUUUUUCUACGGACCUUCUGAGACCGUCAAAUCACGGGUCCGGGUCUGUUUACCAAAAAUAUUGACCAAAGUCAACUUUAUCAAUAUUAAUAUAAAAAUUCUUCAAAUUUUUCACAUAAUUCAUAUAUAUAUCAACAUAAAAAAUUUUCGUCUUCGCGUCCGGACUGCGCACGCAAAUCGAAACUAAUAGUGAGGUUUUUAAGACCUCUGAUGCUCGAAAUGACUAAUAAAAUAAGUGAUGACCCUUUGGGUCGUCACAUACUCCUUUAGUCGUCCGUGAGUAGUGACACCAGAUAAUGGGUAGAGACAGGUUGUUAGUUUCCGCAUUUUUUGUUUUCGAUAUUGUUGUUAAAAAAAACUUCCGCAUGUUUUAAUUAAAUAUUUUAGUAUUUAACUUGUUUUAGAUUUAAGUUUUGUGAAAAUGAUUAUAAAGGUUGGCUUGCCUAGCUUCGACAGUAGGCGCCAUCACGACUCCCGAUGGUGGAAAAAAUCCGAGUCGUGACAGGAACAUCUUAGUUUACUUAUUCUUUGAUCUGCUAUAUACGAGGUCUUUACUUAGGAAAAUGUCUUGCGAAUUAAUUGGAGAAAAACUAGAUGCAACUUCUAUAUGUUGUAUCCCAAUUAUAUGAGCUAGCUAAGUCACUAAUUUAUUGACAUUAACUUUCUGGCGAAACUUUUGCUUUAAGCAACCUAGAUGUCCAGUAGAACUUGGUUCUUAAAUACUUAUCUCUUAAAAAGUGCUGUCUAAAAAUUGAGUUACUGAACAAAGUCAGAAUGGAAUUUAGCACAUGGCAUAAGUAGCAUAAGUACUUUAUGGAUUCUGGUUCUGCAAUGUUUUUUAAAACCACUAGAAUCAAUUUAUGCAAACUGCUUUUCAAAAGAUAGAUAGGCAUAACAAAAUUGUGUUGAGGUUAAGGAGCACAUUAUUGAUAACUUUUCACAAGUGAUGUUGUUAGUCGUGCAUUUCAGUGUUACUCAUUAAUGAAUCUCAAACUCAUACUAAUUUAGUAUGACAAACUAUCUUCACAUCGCAUUUGUAUAUUUUUUAAAGGAAAAGAAGAAUCCAUAUCUGAAACCAAAGUUACCUCGUGUUUAGCAAGAACUUGACAAUAUUGGAUAUCAUUUACAUUGGAACUGACCUAAAACAAGGCAAUCAAGCAUGUGAAUUUCUUUGGGAGGAAAAACUUGAUAAUAUUCAUCACUCAUGGAAACCUAAAGGAUAUUGACCUAAUUCCUUAUUCAAAAAUAAAAUUAAGUUGGAUUUAAAAGCAAAAAAUAAAUAAAGAAACAAACUUACCUUCCAUUGAGCACUCCAAACUAGUAUCUUGCAGAGAUAUGAAGUACUUAACAAAAGUAUCCAAAAAAUCUCAAGAAAUUAAAGUACCAAUUUUGCAGGAAAAGAACUUUAAAAUCGUAAGCAUAAGGCGUUAGCGGCGGAGAAGAAGCUCAUUGCGGGAAACGCACCAGCAGAGGACGAAUCGCCAGCGAGAAAGUCACUUUAACACACUGACAAACUCGAUUAAAAAUCUUAAAAUUUAUAGUUAUUACCCUAGUUGAGAAGAGAAAACAAAUGGGAAAUCAAGCAGUAAAUUUAACAAUCGAAAUAUAGACUCACAGUUUAAGGAAUCUGAUAAACUUGUCCUGCUUGGGUUCCGUCUAACUGAUAAUGGUGUAGGGUUUUCCGCUUUCUUUGCGUGGGUCGACGGGCGGCGGCAGGGGACAAAGUAAAG
rnacentral:lncRNA from 1 species